rnacentral:ncRNA from 1 species
AAUAAACUGAUGAGGGGAAAUAGUAAAUAAGUUUAAAGUUUAAGAGAGCUGACGGUUGGUGCGAGUCAGUACUUUGGCUUAUUGAAUCCAUCCCUGAGGGUUUGCGAUGAGCAAGACGGUAACCUCCGUUAUAGGUUUCAAGGUGGGCUUAUAGCCAAUUAGGGUGGCAACGCGGAAGGUAUGACCUUUCGUCCCUUUA